CGAGGAGAAUGGGGCUCAAGGCCAGAGCAUGAGAGGGGCAGAAACACAGUUACCGGCGGCGAGUCUUUCAUGAAGGCUAUGGGGCAUGUGGAGAUUCCAGGGGCACGCAAUCACUGGCACAUUAAACAGCACCUCUGCAGGAAGUGUUUCAUGGGGCAGUAGAAGGGCUGCAGACAAGCAAGAAGACUGAAAGGCCUGAAAGCCUAUACCAAAGGCAACACUCUGAUGGUGUGCACAGGAGGAGGAGACUAUCGCUGUGAUGCCGCACACUGAGCCAAAGGGAAAGAGCUCGUCCAAGUGAAAUGUCAGUGAUUGGAAGCAGGUGAUGCCGACAGAAAGGUAC
rnacentral:lncRNA from 1 species